CAUAUACUCCCUCCGUUCGGAAUUACUUGUCGCAGAAAUGGAUGUAUCUAGACGUAUUUCAAUUCUAGAUACAUCCAUUUUCGAGACAAGUAAUUCCGAACGGAGGGAGUAUCUA
rnacentral:pre_miRNA from 1 species